UACGUAGGUCCCGGGCGUUGUUCGGAUUUAUUGGGCGUAAAGCGAGCGCAGGUGGUUUAUUAAGUCUGGUGUAAAAGGCAGUGGCUCAACCAUUGUAUGCAUUGGAAACUGGUAGACUUGAGUGCAGGAGAGGAGAGUGGAAUUCCAUGUGUAGCGGUGAAAUGCGUAGAUAUAUGGAGGAACACCGGUGGCGAAAGCGGCUCUCUGGCCUGUAACUGACACUGAGGCUCGAAAGCGUGGGGAGCAAACAGG
rnacentral:rRNA from 1 species